UUCUGGCCUAUGAUUAAUAGGAGGACAGUCUUUCAAGACGAAGAUUUCUGCUGGGGUCUGGGAGGGGAGGGGAAAGUCUAGGGCCUGAGAGCAGAGGGAAAAUGAGAGCAGAGGGUCAGGGAAAACGCCUUGGCCGGAGAGGUUGGUUUUCUGCUCAGGGCUCCCUGGGAAGCAAGACGAGGAGGAGGCGGGAUCCAGCCUUGGUUGAGAGGACUGUCAGCUUCUUUCUCCUAGAUUGGAGUGAACUCUACUGCUGGGCUGAGCUGCAUUCACCGCCCCACCUGUAUUCUUUAACGCUCACCCAGUUCCCAAGUCAAGGGUCCUGAAACAGACCGGGCAAAAGCCACAGGAGCAGUGUUCCUUGGGGAGUCUGAGGCGCCGCUGCAGCCAUUUCCUACGAAAUCCACAUCAGAUCAGCUUCAGGAUGUGGUAACCAAAGUCUUUGCCCUGCAGGAGCUAAAGACAAUAAAUAACUGAAUACA